GUUUGCUCACUCCUUUUUGAUACUCACCGAAAAUACCUACUAAAUUUUAUCCAAUCCUACGUUACGUUAUAAUUUUAAAAAACAUUUUCUGUUAAUGCCAAUUUCUCUUUAACACAGUCUUUAUAGCAUUUACUUAGUUCGUUCGUUUACUUGUACGUGCAUACAUACGCGUAUACGUAUGUAGAUCAUAUGUACUUGUACAUAUAGUCAUGACAGUCCGUGUAUGCGUACGCGUAUUCGUAUACGUAUUGCACGUGUAAUGUAUACACAUGUACAGUAUAUACUUUGCGGUCGUGAUAAGAUCGAGAAGGAACUUGCGCAAUCUCGAGUUGCGAUUACCACUGUCGUGGACAGACCCGUCGCCGCCACUGUCGAUAGAUUUUACCUGUAUCUUGUAUUUUCUAUUCUAUUAACGGAGAAACUACUCGUUACCUUAAAACUUUAAGAUAUAGAGGUAGAUACAAGAAUCGUAUGAAACUUCUUAAUGAAAAUGACUUUCGUAAUGUUUCCAACGGUUAGGAAAUACGUACCGUUCGUUCAUUGCAAAUCCGCGAGAUGACCUCGAAAGUGAUUUGCAGGCUUUGGAAGAGGCGAUUGCAAAAUCGGAAUGUCUGAUAGCAAUACGCGUUUUCAUGAAAUUUCAGAUACGCAGCGUGAAACAUCGUGGAUGAGCAACAUUUGACAACUUAUAGAAUUUAUUAUUGGAUUUCCUAUAUGUUUUUACAUUUAAUCUGAACAAUUGAAAAUGCAAACGAUACGAUUAAUACGAUUGCUUUCAAUUUACUAAUUCAUUUCGCUAGACAUUUAUUCA